GGCCUGAUGGUCUAGUAGUAUGAUUCCUUGUUAGGGCUGAAUAAGCAAUCUCGAGGAGGUCCCGGGUUCAAUUCCCGGUCAGGCCC
rnacentral:tRNA from 2 species